GUGUCCCUGCGCUGUCCGUGAUGCCGGGGGAAGUUUCAACCUCGUUAACAUAACGGGAGCUGUACAGAGGGCGGUGCGCAAGCCCCUCCGAGAAGGGGAAGCCUAAAGCCCUCCUCAUUCGGCGCCCACCUGGUUUACCAGGUUCGAAACAUCGUCGGCACACGGCAGAGGCGGGGAUUUA
rnacentral:other from 1 species